AUUCGUCAGCUGGGAUAUCAGAUUCUGACAUGGACAGAAAAGAGAAGUCUUGUUGAAAUCUAGAACUGUCUACACCUCCUCAGAAACAAAGAUAACCACUAUUGGAAGGGACAUCUAGACUACAGUCUUUAAGACCACCUGCACAU